rnacentral:lncRNA from 1 species
CCUGAUCAUCAGUAAGUGUGAUGUGUGUAGAGAACUGAGGUGGGUUCUCGGGAGAUAGCAACAACGUUCUUGUUUGGUGAUGUGGAAAACAAUUCAGAAGAGAUGAUGCUGUAGCUGCCCAGUGGAAAAAGACAUGGGUCGCUGGUCACGGAGUGAACACAGAGAACCCAGGUAGUCCAGGAAGAGGGAACCGAAUGGACCAAGAUAUUGAGGCAAGAAGGAGAAUACAAGGAAGUGUUCUGGAUUUUUAAAAAAGUAAAUAUUUUUCAUCCUGCAUGGGUGAGAAAAGAUUGUAAUGUAUUUUUAUAGGGGUGAGCAUUACACGAAUCUGAAUAUACUACACCAUUUGCUUGGAUUCAGCAGAGAAUUAUAAAUACUGGAUGUGGAGUAAUAUUUACUAACUCUGAGGAAGAGCAUAAAGUUAAAUAGCUAAAAUGACAGCCUUGGUAACAUGAGAAACGAAAUCAUUUCUGUAUCCAAACAAGGAGUUGUUUCUAGUGCCAUUGAGAGUGUAAGACAUGGUUAUUCCUACAGGCACGUAACUAUAAAUAAACAAAUGGUGUGACUGCCUCGGGGUUAGUCCUGUUGCAGUCACUGGAUUAUGGAACCUGCAAAGUGAUCUACAGAGCUUUAGAAACUUAGGCUCCUUGUUAGAAUUUCCAUACAUAGACUAGGCCUGGUUGGCUGGUGGUGGGGAGCAAUGUGUGAGGUUGCUUUUACCUGUCAGAGCAAGGUCUUUGCUUUCCCACCUGCACCUCCCAGUCUAUGUGUGUUCAG